rnacentral:rRNA from 1 species
UACGUAGGGUGCAAGCGUUGUCCGGAAUUAUUGGGCGUAAAGAGCUCGUAGGCGGUCUGUCGCGUCGGCUGUGAAAACUCGGGGCUCAACUCCGAGCUUGCAGUCGAUACGGGCAGGCUAGAGUUCGGCAGGGGAGACUGGAAUUCCUGGUGUAGCGGUGAAAUGCGCAGAUAUCAGGAGGAACACCGGUGGCGAAGGCGGGUCUCUGGGCCGAUACUGACGCUGAGGCGCGAAAGCGUGGGGAGCGAUCCGG